ensembl:lncRNA
GUCAUCUCUGUCCUGAUAUCCAGAAGCUCUUUGUCUAAUCCGAGGAGAGUGAUCUCUGUCCUGAUAUCCAGAAGCUCUUUGUCUAAUCCGAGAUGAGUGAUCUCUGUCCUGAUGUCCAGAAGCUCUUUGUCUAAUCUGAGGUGAGUGAUCACUGUCCUGAUAUCCAGAAGCUCUGUGUCUAAUCCGAGGUGAGUGAUCGCUGUCCUGAUGUCCAGAAGCUCUGUGUCUAAUCCGAGGUGAGUGAUCUCUGUCCUGAUAUCCAGAAGCUCUUUAUCUAAUCUGAGGUGAGUGAUCUCUGUCCUGAUAUCCAGAAGCUCUUAGUCUAAUCCG